rnacentral:pre_miRNA from 1 species
UUCUUGACGCCGCCCUUGGCGGCCGCGGGCUUCGUCGCCGUCUCACUGAGCUUGGCAGCCGGCUCCUUGGCAAGUCCGGCAGGUUUCACGGCCUUCAGAGAAGCCAUUCUUCUGAUGCUU